rnacentral:rRNA from 1 species
GUGUCAGCCGCCGCGGUAAUACGUAGGGGGCAAGCGUUGUCCGGAAUCAUUGGGCGUAAAGAGCGUGUAGGCGGCUUGGUAAGUCCGCUGUAAAAGUCCAGGGCUCAACCCUGGAAAGCCGGUGGAAACUACCAAGCUUGAGUCCGGAAGAGGCGAGUGGAAUUCCUGGUGUAGCGGUGAAAUGCGCAGAUAUCAGGAGGAACACCAAUGGCGAAGGCAGCUCGCUGGGACGGUACUGACGCUGAGACGCGAAAGCGUGGGGAGCAAACAGGAUUAGAAACCCUGGUAGUCC